rnacentral:rRNA from 1 species
GGGGACAACAUCUCGAAAGGGAUGCUAAUACCGCAUACGCCCUACGGGGGAAAGCAGGGGAUCACUUGUGACCUUGCGUUAAUAGAUGAGCCUAAGUCGGAUUAGCUAGUUGGUGGGGUAAAGGCCUACCAAGGCGACGAUCUGUAGCGGGUCUGAGAGGAUGAUCCGCCACACUGGGACUGAGACACGGCCCAGACUCCUACGGGAGGCAGCAGUGGGGAAUAUUGGACAAUGGGGGGAACCCUGAUCCAGCCAUGCCGCGUGUGUGAAGAAGGCCUUAUGGUUGUAAAGCACUUUAAGCGAGGAGGAGGCUCUUUUGGUUAAUACCCAAGAUGAGUGGACGUUACUCGCAGAAUAAGCACCGGCUAACUCUGUGCCAGCAGCCGCGGUAAUACAGAGGGUGCGAGCGUUAAUCGGAUUUACUGGGCGUAAAGCGUGCGUAAGCCGGCUUUUUAAGUCGGAUGUGAAAUCCCGAGCUUAACUUGGGAAUUGCAUUCGAUACUGGGAAGCUAGAGUAUGGGAGAGGAUGGUAGAUUCCAGGUGUAGCGGUGAAAUGCGUAGAGAUCUGGAGGAAUACCGAUGGCGAAGGCAGCCAUCUGGCCUAAUACUGACGCUGAGGUACGAAAGCAUGGGGAGCAAACAGGAUUAGAUACCCUGGUAGUCCAUGCCGUAAACGAUGUCUACUAGCCGUUGGGGUCUUUGAGACUUUAGUGGCGCAGCUAACGCGAUAAGUAGACCGCCUGGGGAGUACGGUCGCAAGACUAAAACUCAAAUGAAUUGACGGGGGCCCGCACAAGCGGUGGAGCAUGUGGUUUAAUUCGAUGCAACGCGAAGAACCUUACCUGGUCUUGACAUAGUAAGAACUUUCCAGAGAUGGAUUGGUGCCUUCGGGAACUUACAUACAGGUGCUGCAUGGCUGUCGUCAGCUCGUGUCGUGAGAUGUUGGGUUAAGUCCCGCAACGAGCGCAACCCUUUUCCUUACUUGCCAGCAUUUCGGAUGGGAACUUUAAGGAUACUGCCAGUGACAAACUGGAGGAAGGCGGGGACGACGUCAAGUCAUCAUGGCCCUUACGACCAGGGCUACACACGUGCUACAAUGGUCGGUACAAAGGGUUGCUACCUAGCGAUAGGAUGCUAAUCUCAAAAAGCCGAUCGUAGUCCGGAUUGGAGUCUGCAACUCGACUCCAUGAAGUCGGAAU